rnacentral:tRNA from 2 species
GUCCCAUUAGCGCAGUGGAUAGCGCGUUGGACUUCUAAUCCAAAGGUCCUGGGUUCGACCCCCAGAUGGGAUG